ensembl:lncRNA
GUAAACGCCAGCAACCGCCGAGGGUCCUCAGACGCCUGAGAACAUCCUCCAAGAAGGAGGAAACCAGAGCAAGCCAACAGACAGAAAGGAAAAGAGACCAGCGAACUGGAGGAAAGACGGCUCGCAACCACCAAGGGUCCUCAGACGCCUGAGAACAUCCUCUAAGAGGGAGGAAACCAGAGCAAGCCAACAGACGGAAAGAAAAGAGACAACAGCGAACUGGAGGAAAGACGGCUCUCGAGAGUCCCUUGGGUGGAGAGAUCCAACCAGGCCACCCUAAAGGAGAUCAGUCCUGAAGAUUCAUUGAUGCUGAAACUGAAACUCCAACGCUUUGGCCACCUGAUGUGAAGAACUGACUCUUUGGAAAAGACCCUGAGGCUGAGAAAGAUUGAAGGCGGGAGGAGAAGGGGACGGCAGUGGAUGAGAUGGUUGGAUGGCAUCACCGACUCAGUGGACAUGAGAUUGAGCAAGCUCCAGGAGUUGGUGAUGGACAGGGAGGCCUGGUGUGCUGCAGUCCACGCACGGUCACAGGGGCAGAGUCCUCUUACUGCUCAGCACAGAGAAUGGUCCACCCUGCUCUCCACGGCACACUCACGGGGCAGAGUCCUCAGACUGCUCGGCACAGUUUCUCUGAUGGUCUUUUUAAAAGGUCGGAAGAAAAAAUUAGAGAGAGUGAAAAUUAUAUCACAGUAGCUUUCUAACCACUUUAUACACAUAACGAGACUAAAGGUGACCCUUUUAUGAUUUGUUACAGAUGGAGAAGUGCUUCCAGAUCCCAGCCUGGAACACCCUGUCCUCCCUCAUCACCAGGUCCUCCCUCAUCACCAGGUCCUCCCUCAUCACCCUGUCCUCCCUCAUCACCAGAUCCUCCCUCAUCACCAGGUCCUCCCUCAUCACCCUGUCCUCCCUCAUCACCCUGUCCUCCCUCAUCACCAGGUCCUCCCUCAUCACCAGGUCCUCCCUCAUCACCAGGAAACACGUUUUAAAAAUAACAAAAGAAAGAAAGGAGGAAGGGAAGGAAGGAAGAAACAGGGAAAUGUUUUCUCCCGUCCAAAAUGCGAA